UCGUAAAACUCAAAAUUGUACACCGCAAAAGUGUGAGAGUGAGGGAAUCCAGUAAAACCCAAAAUGUCAGUUUGCCGAGAAAACGCCAACAUCCGAGACAACCACCGGCGGUUGCUGGCCGAGAAAUUCGAGCUCCGGCGGAACCUGUACAAGGCGCUGUGCAAAGACACGAGCCUCCCCGACGAGUUGCGUGAGGAAAACCGGUACAAGCUCUCCAAGCUUCCUCGAAACAGCUCCUUCACUCGAAUCAGGAACCGCUGCAUCUUCUCCGGCCGAGGCCGCUCCGUCUACGAGACCUUCCGUAUGUCUCGUAUCGUCUUCCGCGCUCUCGCCUCCAAGGGCAUGCUCAACGGCGUCAAGAAAGCGUCCUGGUAGUCCGUCCUCCCCAAAACGGUUCUGGCUGCGGAAGUUAGCAAGACAUUUGUUGCUGUGCUAUCUUUUCUAGUUCUUGAGAAGUUUGGUUCUGGUUUCCAGACGUGGUGGUGGAUUUGUGUUGACUGCUAGGUCUGGCAAUUUAGCUUAGUUUCUGUUUGGGGCCUGUCAAUCAUCUUUUGCUUCACAUCCAUAUGUGAUGAACUUAAUUAUAUACAUCUUAAGUAUCUGUUUUUUUCCUUUAACUUGAGGAACUAGGUUCUGCUCAUUGGGCCCUUUCCAAUACAUAGUUACGAAACUCUUAACACCAAGACUGUACACAUUCUUUAACACCAAAACUCUGCCAAUAUCUCCACUCGUACUUACUUGAGCUUCGCUGAUACAAGAAACCGAAUCAAUUUGUUUGGCUUCAUGCAUACCGAGGCAAGUGUUUGAAAGAUAAUCUCAGUGAAAAAUCGUACUGCUCGGGAUGAGUCAUCGAUACGGAUCUUGAUGGUAACAAGAACCAUGCCAAAGCUUACCAGAUACAAGAGAGCUGUGCAGGUUAUUGAUGCUCACCACAAGCUUGAGAGAACGAAUUUUGCCGACAUGCUUCCUGAAGAA